rnacentral:rRNA from 1 species
UACAGAGACUGCAAGCGUUAUUCGGAUUCACUGGGCGUAAAGGGUGCGCAGGCGGCCGUGUGUGUGAGGCGUGAAAGCCCGGGGCUCAACCCCGGAAUUGCACCUCAAACUACAUGGCUAGAGCAUUGGAGAGGGAAGCGGAAUUCACGGUGUAGCAGUGAAAUGCGUAGAUAUCGUGAGGAACACCAGAGGCGAAGGCGGCUUCCUGGACAAUUGCUGACGCUCAGGCACGAAAGCGUGGGGAGCAAACAGG